UACGUAGGGACCGAGCGUUGUCCGGAAUCAUUGGGCGUAAAGAGCGUGUAGGCGGCCACUUAAGUCCUGCGUGAAAUCUUGCGGCUCAACCGCAAGCGGUCGUGGGAAACUGGGUGGCUAGAGUGCGGGAGAGGAGAGUGGAAUUCCUGGUGUAGCGGUGGAAUGCGCAGAUAUCAGGAAGAACACCCGUGGCGAAGGCGGGUCUCUGGACAGUUCCUGACGCUGAGGCACGAAGGUCAGGGGAGCAAACGGG
rnacentral:rRNA from 1 species